UUGGAAACGACUGCUAAUACCGCAUAACGUCUACGGACCAAAGGGGGCUUCGGCUCUCGCCCUUAGAUUAGCCCAAGUGGGAUUAGCUAGUUGGUGAGGUAAUGGCUCACCAAGGCGACGAUCCCUAGCUGGUUUGAGAGGAUGAUCAGCCACACUGGAACUGAGACACGGUCCAGACUCCUACGGGAGGCAGCAGUGGGGAAUAUUGCACAAUGGGCGCAAGCCUGAUGCAGCCAUGCCGCGUGUGUGAAGAAGGCCUUAGGGUUGUAAAGCACUUUCAGUAAGGAGGAAAGGUUAGUAGUUAAUACCUGCUAGCUGUGACGUUACUUACAGAAGAAGCACCGGCUAACUCCGUGCCGGCAGCCGCGGUAAUACGGAGGGUGCGAGCGUUAAUCGGAAUUACUGGGCGUAAAGCGUACGCAGGCGGUUUGUUAAAGCGAGAUGUGAAAGCCCCCGGGCUCACCCUGGGAACUGCAUUUCAAACUGGCAAACUAGAGUAUGAUUAAAGGGUGGUAAAAUUUUAGGUUGUACCGGGUGAAAUGCGUAAAAAAU
rnacentral:rRNA from 1 species